CUACGGGAGGCAGCAGUAGGGAAUCUUCCACAAUGGACGAAAGUCUGAUGGAGCAACGCCGCGUGAGCGAUGAAGGCCUUCGGGUCGUAAAGCUCUGUUGUUAGGGAAGAACAAGUACCGGAGUAACUGCCGGUACCUUGACGGUACCUAACCAGAAAGCCACGGCUAACUACGUGCCAGCAGCCGCGGUAAUACGUAGGUGGCAAGCGUUGUCCGGAAUUAUUGGGCGUAAAGCGCGCGCAGGCGGUCCUUUAAGUCUGAUGUGAAAGCCCACGGCUCAACCGUGGAGGGUCAUUGGAAACUGGGGGACUUGAGUGCAGAAGAGGAAAGCGGAAUUCCACGUGUAGCGGUGAAAUGCGUAGAGAUGUGGAGGAACACCAGUGGCGAAGGCGGCUUUCUGGUCUGUAACUGACGCUGAGGCGCGAAAGCGUGGGGAGCAAACAGGAUUAGAUACCCUGGUAGUCCACGCCGUAAACGAUGAGUGCUAAGUGUUAGGGGGUUUCCGCCCCUUAGUGCUGCAGCUAACGCAUUAAGCACUCCGCCUGGGGAGUACGGCCGCAAGGCUGAAACUUAAAGGAAUUGACGG
rnacentral:rRNA from 1 species